rnacentral:rRNA from 1 species
CAGCCGCCGCGGUAAUACCGGCGGCUCGAGUGGUGGCCACUUUAUUGGGCUUAAAGCGUUCGUAGCUGGGUUAUUAAGUCCCUUGGGAAAUCCGACAGCUUAACUGUCGGGCGUCUAAGAGAUACUGGUAAUCUUGGAACCGGGAGAGGUGAGGGGGUACUUCGGGGGUAGGAGUGAAAUCCUGUAAUCCUCGAGGGACCACCUGUGGCGAAGGCGCCUCACCAGAACGGCUUCGACAGUGAGGGACGAAAGCUGGGGGAGCAAACCGGAUUAGAUACCCGGGUAGUCCCAGCCGUAAACGAUGUGCGUUAGGUGUAUCGGUGACCACGAGUCACCGAGGUGCCGAAGGGAAACCGUGAAACGUACCGCCUGGGAAGUACGGUCGCAAGGCUGAACUUAAAGGAAUUGGCGGGGGAGCACCACAACAGGUGGAGCCUGCGGUUUAAUUGGACUCAACGCCGGAAAUCUCACCGGAUAAGACAGCAGAAUGAUUGCCGGGCUGAAGACUCUGCAUGACUAGCUGAGGGGAGGUGCAUGG